AUUAAUUUUUCUAAAAAUCUGUUCUUAUCAGUUUAAUAUCUGAUACGUCCCCCAUCGGGGGACUACAUAUUAAAUGGAUUUUUUGAAAUGGGGCUUGCUCCGUCCGCUCCACGCAUCGACCCGGUAUUGCAGUACUUCCGGGAACGGUGCAACACUU
rnacentral:snRNA from 1 species